rnacentral:rRNA from 1 species
UACGGAGGGAGCUAGCGUUAUUCGGAAUUACUGGGCGUAAAGCGCACGUAGGCGGCUUUGUAAGUAAGAGGUGAAAGCCUGGGGCUCAACCCCAGAAUUGCCUUUAAGACUGCAUCGCUUGAAUCCAGGAGAGGUGAGUGGAAUUCCGAGUGUAGAGGUGAAAUUCGUAGAUAUUCGGAAGAACACCAGUGGCGAAGGCGGCUCACUGGACUGGUAUUGACGCUGAGGUGCGAAAGCGUGGGGAGCAAACAGG